rnacentral:rRNA from 1 species
CGGGGUGAGUAAUGUCUGGGAAACUGCCUGAUGGAGGGGGAUAACUGCUGGAAACGGUAGCUAAUACCGCAUAACGUCGCAAGGCCAAAGAGGGGGACCUUCGGGCCUCUUGCCAUCGGAUGUGCCCAGAUGGGAUUAGCUAGUAGGUGGGGUAACGGCUCACCUAGGCGACGAUCCCUAGCUGGUCUGAGAGGAUGGCCAGCCACACUGGAACUGAGACACGGUCCAG